rnacentral:rRNA from 1 species
CCGAUAGUACCACUGGGGAUACGCCGCAGGUUGAAACUCAAAGGAAUGACGGGGUCGCACAGCGGUGGAGCAUGUGUUUAAUUCGAUGAUACGCGAGGAACCUUACCUAGGCUAGAAUGUGAGUGACCGAUCCUGAAAGGGGUCUUUCCUUCGGGACACGAAACAAGGUGCUGCAUGGUUGUCGUCAGCUCGUGCCGUGAGGUGUUGGGUUAAGUCCCGCAACGAGCGCAACCCUUAUCGUUAGUUACCAGCACGUUAUGGUGGGGACUCUAGCGAGACUGCCGGCGUAAGCCGCGAGGAAGGUGGGGAUGACGUCAAAUCAUCAUGGCCUUUAUGCCCAGGGCUACACACGUGCUACAAUGGGCUGUACAAAGGGUUGCAAGCCCGCGAGGGUGAGCCAAUCCCAGAAAGCAGCUCGUAGUUCGGAUUGGAGUCUGCAACUCGACUCCAUGAAGCUGGAAUCGCUAGUAAUCGUGGAUCAGCAUGCCACGGUGAAUACGUUCCCGGGCCUUGUACACACCGCCCGUCACACCAUGAGAGUUGGUUGUACCAGAAGUUGUCGGACUAACCCGCAAGGGGGGUAGGCACCUAAGGUAUGGCCGAUGAUUGGGGUGAAGUCGUAACAAGGUAACCGUAAGACUGGAGAUCUG